rnacentral:lncRNA from 1 species
UUACCAUACAAUAAAUCAUAUUAAUGUUGAUUUGUUUUGUUUAGAAUUGUUGUGGUUAUCUAAUACACAUAUUUUUGUUUCCUAAUACGGCUAUCUAAUAUCUACCAAAAAAUUAUAUCUAUACGCAGAUACGUAUAUAUAUUCAAUAAUUUAUUUUUUGAACUAUUACAUUUUGUUCGUAUGUAUGUUUCUAAUAUAUAUUCAGGAUAUCAUAUGACUAAUGUAUGAUACCCAUGCUAUAAAAUACCCUACGAUGAUAAGAGUACAACAUACCUCCGAUAUUGUAUACCCAAUUUAUCGUAUAUCCUAAUGUCCAAAUUGUAAGUAUAUACCUAUUAGGUAUAUAUUGGAUAUACCUAUGGUAUCGUAUACCUAAUGGAUGUUCCUAUGUAUGUUUCUAAUGAAUUAAUUUUCAAGGUAUAUGGCAUUUAGAUAAAAAUUAAGACCGGGCCGUACCCAACGACGAUAAGAGUACAUCAUAUGUCCUAUUAGGUAUACAUUGGGUAUACCCAUGAUAUCAUAUACCCAAUAUAUCAUAUACCUAAUGUAAAAAAAGAUCAUGUUCCACGGAUGAGUAGAACAUACC